UUCCAUUUUCCUCCGUCCGAGCCUUUCCUCCCUGAUUCUUCAUCGUGUCCCUCUACCGAUUACCUUAUUCUCCGAGCCGAUUUGCCGAUUCCCAGUCCCGAUCCCGAUCGACACCACCGGAUCGCCGAUCCACUGUCGUCGGCACUCGAGGGCCACCUGAUGUCGCUGUCGCCUUCCCUCUCUUGGCCACGGACACUCGGCGUUCGCCUGCACCCAAUUCCUUUUUGUGUCGUACCCUAGACCUCUACCACUGCUUGAUUUGUCGCCGCUCCUCUUCUCCGGCUAGAUGCGAGCGAUCGUGCGUUGCCACCAAGGAACUGUCGUGGCUAGCUCGCGACACUCACAGCUAUGAUUUGCCUGCUUCUUCGAUGUCGCUACCUCUCCAUGUCACCGACCGCCUAUCAUCGGCCUUUCGUGUGAAGCCAGUUUGGGAGAGUUACAAUACCCUAGAUCUCUAUUGCUAUCGACCUGUCGACGUCACCGCGACUUUUCUGCUUCUCAUCCAAACGUGGGUAACAUGGUUGGUCUCACAGUUCUCAUGGCCAGCCUCUCACCCAUUGCUUCACCGGAGUUGUCCCGACCACAAGCAAGAGCCACCCAACUUUUGAACAUCUCCAACCUUGGAUCCAUCCAUUGUAGCUCCAGUUAUGAGCAACAACACGAUCGGAUUUGGAUUUGGCCGACAGUGCUGUUCUGACCAUCUUUCCAACUGUAAGGAGGUUUUUCGACAUUAGGGUUAUUCAGGAACAAACAGAUUAGGGACUUUAAUUCAAGAUGAGCGUCUCGACAUGAGAUUUAUUUUAGCACAAUCGACGUAUAAAGACGAGUAUUUUUUCCUUGGCCUCUAUAUAGUUCUUUGAACUUAGUGCAUGAUUUUUAUUUAUUAGAUUAGGCUGCUUUAUCUUGAAUCCAUUUGUAUUGUUAUCUUGCUUGAUACUUAUGCUUGACCUUGAGAUGAUCUAUUUAUUUCAUAUACAGUCUUAAGCUUUGAAAAUAUAUACUCUGUUGUAUAUUUACAUAUAGAGUAUGUAUAGUAGGGGAUAUCUUGUUGACUGAGUUAACAUGCUGAUUAUGCAUUUGAUGUUAAGUUACACAUGAUUGGUAUGCAUUGUAGGAGUCACCUGGUUGAUUGUUCAUUUAUAUAUUGUAUGUGUACACAUGUCCAGUGUUACCUAUUGGAGGUUUCAUGUUGAUUGUAUCUAUGUUGUGUAUACAUGUGUUUGAUGUAUACUAUUAGAGGAUCAUGUCAAUAAUACCUAUGUUAGUGAUUGUAUGUGUUUGAUGUGUUAUUGGGGGUAUCAUGAUUAUACCUUUGUGGUUGUGUGCAUAUGUAUUUGGUAUGACUAUUGGAGGUUUCUUAUUGAUUAUACCUACAUUGUAGGGUGCGUACAUAUGUGAUGAGUACAUGUCUGGUGUAAUUACUUAUUGUACUUGUUAUUUAGAGGGCACUUGUUGAAUCUACCCAUACCUAUAGAUAUAGGUGAUUGAUGAAUCAUGUAUUGGGGAUACUUAUGUUUAUUGGGUUGUUGCAUUGUUGAUGAUCGUGUCGGUAUCAUGAUUAUUUACAUCAUGACGUUACAUGCUGACGACCAUUGUCUCUCUUAUGGUGUGAGAGAGUCGUCAGUCAUUUUAGCGCUGCACACUCGGUCACUCAUGGGUAGUGGUAGCUGGAGCAGUUGCCUCGUCUUGUUGUACCACCCAGUCACGAGGUGUUGUGAUAUCCGGCGUUGUGAGCAGUCAGAGACCUUGUCACUAUAUAGUUACAUAACUACUUAGCACACUAUCGCCUCAGCCACUCGAGAGUAGUAUUUGCUAGAGGGUUGUACAGUUGUUAUUAUCUCGACCCCUCAGCCACACAGGGGUCGUGGCAGGUGGAGGGACGGGCGGGGAUGACACCAUGGUGCAUGCAUGUGCAUUUGCAUAUGAUGUGCGGUGCAUCUUGUUGAGAUAUAUUUGCAUACAUGUCUAAUAGAUACUAACUAUAUAUGAUUGUUAUAUGUUGCACUUGUAUGAGCUAUGAUUGUUGCAUAUGGAUGUUAUGCUUCAUACAUGUCAUUUAUUAUACAUGUAUAUGCUGUCGAUUAUAUUGUUCAGGUGUUACGAGCAGAUCUGUUGUUCAUCCCCCAGUGAGUUUGCUGAUCAUUAUACCAUAUGUGUCGAUUCUAGAUUGGGUAUUUGUAUUUAUUAUGUCAUGUACGAUCUUGACCUUUUAUGUUAGUACCAUAUUGGGUAGGUUCAUUUACUAUGAUAUUGUGAUCAUGAUCGUAUGAGUUUGGUCUAGAUUAGGUAUAUACAUUCAUUAUAUCAGUUUAUGAUCAUGUUCUUAUUUCCCUAAUGAGACUGUAUACUUUGAUCUUCAUGUUUUUAUAUAGACCAUGCACUAUCUUGUCUAUUACCCGCUGAGUGAUCCAGACCCACCACCGCAUUUCUAUGUUGUCUUUUUCCUCAGGUAGCAUGUAGUGAUUAUGGAGUCGCUUGGAGUAUCUUGUUUGCCGGUCCCAUGUCACAUUUGAAGACAGUCUUUACUUCGCUCUUAUUUCCUUAUAUGUUUUUUUUAUGAUAUUGGCAUUGUAUUGGUGUUUAGCCAUGUAGCUUCUUUAUCGUUUUUAGUAUUUUGUUGUGUUUAAGUCGUGCCGGCACGUAUUGUAUCAUUUUGGAUUGUUUGUGCUUUCCUUUCAUUUUUCCGCUGUAUUUUUAGUACAGUCAUGUGGGUUGUUUAUUAUAUAACUGCAUGGUUGUAAUCAUUUUGUUCCAGCCGAGUGUGCUGUGUAUAUAACUGCAUAGUUGUGUAUGUUCCAGCUGUGUGAGCUGAUGAUUAUAGUUUGUGAGUAGCUUGUGGUUGUAUUCAUGAUUCAUAUUGUCACAGUUAUAGAGGAUAUGCUAUCCGUUUGCCGGGCAGGAACUCCUCUGGGACGUGACAGCUACAAUGUUGUAACACUACUUCGACACUCCAAACAACCUUUUCUUAUCAUUUUUUUUAUUAUAUAAUUUGCAGAAAACUUGUCAAACAUCAUUUCCCACAAACCAUUCGAUGGUAAGUCUUUUCAAUUUAAGUUGUAAUUCCCUCUAAUCUUAAUAUAUAUUAUCAUGCACGGUCUGAAAGCGAAAUUAUAUUGUGCAAUUAUCAUUUUGCAUUCAUAGUUUUGGCUAAAUUUUUAACCCCUAAACUAGGUGUGCAACAAAUAUUUCGAAAGAUUGUCAUUGAAAGUAGAUUGGUGUCCCACGGUGUCUUCGUCUAUCAACCUCACCAUGAUGACUUAUUUCUCCUCCAAAGUUUCGCCUCGAUCAUAGGUCUUUGGAUUGAAGAUUUACUUUCAGACAAUAAAGAUUUUAAAAAAGGUUGUAACAUUGUAUCAGCUACUCGAUGGUAAGUGCUGCAACAUAGUUAAACCCUAAUGAUUGAUACAAUGUAGUUAAACCCUACAGUCCUUAUUGACUUCUUAUUAUUGUAACAGCUACUUGACCAUAAUUGCUACAACGUGAUCAGUAGCUAUGUUGUGGUAACUGCUAAUCACAUUGUAGUAACUAGGAGAAAUUAUAGACAUUGUAAUAUAUCAUAUUAUGUUUAAAAAAUAACAAUGUAAUGUAUC